CAUAGCACAGGAUACUACCCAUUUCUUUUGCAAAACAACUAAAGAGACCGAAAGCCCUCACCUGAAGUGAAGCUGAAAAAAACACCACUUUGUCCCAAUAGAAUAUGGAGAUUGAAAAGUGAUCUUUAAAGAAUUUGGCAUUCUUCUUCAGCUACAAUAUCCAUGAAUUUGCAAUAAAUAACUUAUCUCUAUUGCAUUUUCCACUCCUUACUCAUACCAAAACAAUGUAGAAAAAGUUGAUGGAAACCUCAAUACCUAAACCGCCAUCCUUCUUAGGAAGGAGCGAACCUCCCAACUACCAAGAUGAUCUCUAUUCUCACCAGCAUCCAACCACCGAAAGCAUCUCGUAAUUUGUUUAGUGCUCUUGGCUACUAUUGCCGAAUUCUAAAAAGGGAAAGGUAAUGCAUGGGAUGCUAGAUAAGCAUGUAAUCAGCAAAGUUACUCUAGCACCAAUAGAGAAAAUGGCAACCUUCCAACUUCCUAACUCUUAGAAAUCUUCCCCACAACUGAAUCUCAAAGAAGAUCUAGGAUUCCUCCUCCCCAAAGGAACUCCAAGAUACAUAAUCAGCUUUCCCAAAAUAUAACAUUUUACAAUAGUGUUCAAAUUCCUAAUAACAUUCUCCUCCACAUUAAUGUCUGCCAAGACAGUCUUAUUUUAGACGUGAAACAUAUAUAGAUAGGUCGUGGGCUGUAAUAUUUCAGCAGAGAUUCAAUAACAAGGUUUCUCCUUUUCUCUGUAGCUCUUUCUAACAACAUGGUAUUAAAGCGUCUGCAAUCUAAAGGAGUGUGCUAUUUUUAUCACUCAUCUGUAGGCUUAAGUUUUGCUAUUGGAGUGUACACACUUGCAGAUUUUACUGAUUGCAAACUAGUUGAUUCAUCUGUGAAUUUGCAAGGAAGUGAUCAUUGUUGAUGCAAAAAAAAAAAACCAGCUUGGGAGUAAGAAUGGCUUGCUUUAUGAGAACCUAUCCUUGCAAAUAGGUCGUAUGGAGUUAGAUGGAAUUUUACUUGUGUGGUUAACAUCCUCUUUAUGGUUCAUC
rnacentral:lncRNA from 1 species